rnacentral:lncRNA from 1 species
UGAGAGAGAGAGAGAGAGAGAGAGAGAGCCAUAAACGGUUAGAAUGCGGGUGUCGGCCAACUAUAGUAAAUUUUCUCCUAAAAUCAUUAGUGAGAAUCAUGCGGUCAUGCAAAGUUGUCGUAUCGUUGCUCCUUUUGCACAGGGUGUGAAGCAACAGAUGAGGGGGCCUCAAUGGGCGACAAAGGGGGGGCCAAUGCUUUUUCAUCCUUUGAUGCUUGGAGUAUCAUGUGUCUUGUCCAGCAAUACUAAUGCAAAUUCAACUGCUUUAUCUCUUUCUCUCUCUCUCUCUUGAUAAGAAUCAUUUCCCACUCAUUUGUUAUCCACUAGUGCAUGUGUGCAUAGAAGAACUUAGAAGAACCAUGGUCAAAAAUGUUGCAACAUCUUUUGACUCCUUUUAGGGUAUCCAUAACCAUUAGCCCUCCACAACAUUGAAGAGAAAACUAAUCAUCUAGAGACAUAAGAGGGACAUGAAGAUUAAAAACUACUUUUAUGGUACACGUACACAUCAUUUUGAUGAGAACCAUUUUCACAAUAAUUAUCCACAAAAAAGAAAAAAAAAAAAACCAUCUUGCACAUUCUUGUACACGUGAAGCGGGGCCGUUGAACUAUCCAAAAAAAAAAAAACCUGGAAAAAAAAGAUGAAAAAAAGAAAAAAGAACGUAAGGCAUCGCGGUUCCAAAAAAUAAAUGACUUGGUGACAAGCCCUUGUGUACCCAAUACCCUUAGCCCUUAUGGCCAAGUAUUGAAUCAAAUGUCAAGGUAAGUGAUAUAUUAGAGGGAGUAGGAAGGGUAAUAAAUAUAAGAUAAAGAGUCCUACAAAGAACUUCUUAAUAACCUUCAACAGCUCUAUUACAGCCCCUUAUAAGAUGGACCUUGUGGUAUGGGAGUACUCUCUCAGUUAACUUCUCCCUCGGGAAAUGAGGAUGGGGCAUCAGUGGUUGGAGAGAGGAUGUGUUGACGAAUAUUGUGGGUUGCAAGAUAUUGAGUUUUUUAUUUUAUAAGAAUAUAGUUGUAAUGAGCUUUGUUUACUAAAAAACAAGAAUUGUAAUUCUAUAAAUCUCUAAUAAAUCAGAGUAAUCUCCAUAAAUGAGAUAUUGAUUUACCUUCCGUAGACGUAAGCACAAUUGUCAUACCACGUGUACGUCUUAUUGAUCUUUUUCUCUUUCUCCCUCUCGUCACCAUUUAUCUUAUUGCAAAUUCUACAUGAUGCUUCAACAUAAUGUCUCACCCUCCACUCCCACCGUCAACAUAUCAAAAGAAAAAAAAGUGGGGAAUCCUCCCAUCACUCCCUACUUUUGAUCAAAUAGUUGUUCACAUAGCAGUCGCUCCCAUCACUCCUAAAAGUAGGGAAUCCAGUGGAUAAGAACAAUUGUAGGAACAUUAUGAUUGCCAUGACUGCAGAUAUAGAAGAAGGCCUUCGAAGAGAAUGGAAACUCAGUCCAUACACUUAAAGCAAAGAUUCUAGCAACAAUCAUAUCAAGAGUGAAGGUUUGGAAGAAGCACCGGGAGGAGUACGGUAACUCAGACUUCCUUACCCACUUCAAAACUGUAGUCAAAUCUUCCCUACUAUUGCGAACAAGGUCAGAUAGAUGGGAGGCAUUGCCGGUGAUUCGAUAAAGCUAAACUUGAUAGGAUCAACCAACAUAAUCCCGAAGUAAUACCAGACAUGAUUAGGUUGCUAAUCGUGAAAAAGACUAGAAAAGUGUCAUCUAAUCGACAAAAUGGAGCAGCAUAUACCCGGCAAAUUUUAUCCUAUCGUAAACAAAAUUACAUUAUUAUUUAAAACAAAUACACUCGUGCAAAAUUUAGAUGUAACACCAAUAUGCGAUAAGAUAAUAGGGAAUAGAUUUACGUGGGCUGGCCACGUGUGGUCCACACCCAGUAUAGCACAUGGUAGGAGGUGCGAGUUUUUUUUAAGUAGAAGGCUAAAAAAGGGUCAGGGAUAUGCCCAAAAGAACAUAGUUGGAAGUAGUAAGGAAAUAUAUGGGAACUCAUGGCUUCAGUGAGAGUAUGAUCAUUAAUAGAACAGAAAGAUGUAUUAGGAUUUAUGUAGGCGACCCCAACUAGUUGAAAAAAAGCUUUGAUGAUGAUGACAAGGCAAAAUUAAAUUAACUAAAUACAUUAAAUCUCCUUCAAUCGUGUUUAAGGGAAAAAAUACUCCACAAUGCGGUCGAGGAAGGUAUCUCUACGGCAAACUAGCACGAGGUAACUAAGAGAGAACUGUCGGUGAUCACUCUAAUUUUGUAUGGUUCUUGACAAUAUGGUGAUACAUAAAAGCAUGUAUGAUAAGAUUGUCUAUUUUUUUAUAAGAAGGACAUAAUUCCUAUUAGCUGUUAGAUUUGAAAUCGUAAGGUUGGAGAUAAAGCUCAAAAUUUAGUUAGUUUUUUUUUUGAAUUUUCUUUAUGUCAUAUGUCAUUAUCAUUAUCAUCCGAGCCUUAUCCCAACUAAAUAUGGUAUUACAUGAAUCUUGUUUUAACAUCUUGCUCUAUCAAUGAUUAUACCUUCAAUAAAUCCAUCAAUAGCCAUAUCUUUUCUCGCUACUUCUAUCUAUGUCUUUUUGAGCAUUCGUUUUACCUUUUUAGAGCCUUUUACUUAAAUCAAACCACAAACUACACCUCCUAAGUGGUGUUGUAUUAAUUUAUAUUUUUUUGAACCUUCACUUUACCCUUUUAGAUCCUUACAUUUGAACGAAACCACACCUCCUAAAUGAUGUUCUAUUUAGCCCAUGCUGCUGCAACUUAUAUCACAUGUCCAGCAGCCUACUUUCACAUCUGGUGGUCAAGAGUGGUAGUGACUUCCAUCAAAUAUUAAUGGUCUUGUACUAUACAAUGCAUGCACAUCAAUUUUAUCUAAUCAACCAAGAUAUAACUACUUUCAUGCCACUCUUACUCUUAAUUUGAGAACAAUUUUGGUGAGAAAAUAGACUAAAGCUGCUUUUUGGCGCACGUACUCAGUCUGAUAGGAACCAGUAAGCACACGUACAGAGAGACACACGCGCAGAGAGAGAGAGAUGGUGGUGGGGGAGGGGCAUCCAUGUGGUGGGGUUUAGGAAUAAAAGUUAGAGAGGAAGGGGGGGGGGUAUCUUUGAAAGUGGGGUUUAAAACAGGAAUGAAAGAUGGCGUUAAAGCAAAUCAUAAAUAAAGAUGAGACGGCACCUAAGUAGUGAUGUUCCAUAUGGAUCUAAUAAAGCACUAAAGCACAAAUCACAUAAAUAGUAAAAGGGAAACAGACAUUUUGUGUGAGAGAGAAGCAAGCAGUAUUGAGGGGUGCUCUUUUACUGGGGUUAAAAGCAAAUUUAAGAUUGCAUUUAAGGUAAAGAUAAAAGUGAAGAACAAAGUAUUGAGGUGUAGAGAGAUAGAGGGCUAAAAAAAUACAGAAGCAAGGGAUCCCUGAUCAAAGUAUUUAACGAAGUCCAAAGCAUAAUAAAUCGUUAAUAACAAUGUGUUUAGCUUAAGCUGAUGCCAAAUGUGGAGGUAGUUAUAAACCCACCUAAAUUUAGAGGGAGCCAUAAGCACAUUUAGAGAGAGAAUCAGUACAGUGCCCAAAGGAGUAGCUACACACAUUUAGAGGGUGUUACAUGCAAACUAACAUGAAGAUUUAGAGAGAGAAAGAGAAAGAGAGAGAGAGUUGGUGUCAGGGGGUGCAGCUUUUGCUUUUCAAUUCCUCUGUUUUAAAGAGUAUUCAAUUGGGUGGGAUUCAUGCUGACUCCUCAUGCUUUGUUGAGGUGUUGGUAUCAAUAAAGCGAAGGAAUAAAGAAAACCAAACAAAGAUCUCAUGAGAUGGAACACAAAUCUCUAGACCAUCUAGGGAUUCCCAUUCAUACUUUUAACAAAAAUUUAUACUUAAAAAAAAACUCAAAAUUGGGACUCUAAUGAAUGGCCAAACGCAGGGAAUGUUGGAUUCCAUAAUCCCUUUCCCUUUAUCUAUUUCUUUUUUAAAACAAAAAUUUUAAUUCAAACACAGUUUUCAAUGAGAAAUGGAUGAUUGAGCCAACAAGGAAUUUCAUCUUUUUCUCUCAUUAUUCUCUCUCUCUCUCUAUGGCUCGAUAUUUCCAUUUCCCUUGAAGAAAUGAUUUUGCUCCUGAGCCAAGUGGGUUUCCAUGAUGAAAGCAUGAGCCCCCCCUCUUCUUUUGUUUUGUGAAUGACAUCUGUGUGAAAAACCCAUCAAGAAUUUGAGACCAACCCAUCACCCAACCCACCAUUAAAACUCUUAAACAAGCUCUGACUGCUGCCCUGAAACUAACAAGCCUUUCUCUAUCUGCAAGUCUACCAAUAUGAAGAGAGAAGGUCUCUUCUUUUGGGUGGUUUUCUUCUUUUCAUGGGCUUCUUCCACUGCUUUGCUCUCUCCCAAAGGUGUUAAUUUUGAAGGUAAUUGAAUGUCUUUGGCUUCUGCAACUUGGGUUGCUUUCAUUUCUUACAAACUUUGAUUAGCACUCUGUUUUUUGGGAUAUUUAUUCCUAGCUUUCAAGCGUAAAUAUUUGAAUUGCUUUCUCUUGUUGGAAGUGGAUUUCUCUUCAGUUUCCUUUUCCGUUUACUGAUAUUUUUUUUUUUUAUGUAUUUAGUGCAAGCUUUGAUGGGUAUAAAACAAGCUCUUAAGGAUCCUUUGAGUGUUCUGGAGAACUGGGAUGGUGACUCUGUUGAUCCUUGUAGCUGGGCCAUGAUCACUUGCUCUCCUGAAAAUUUGGUUAUAGGACUGUAAGUUUCUUUCAAAACUCUCUCUUUUCCUGCUAAUCCUUUAUGAAAAUAUUUUGUUAUUCAAGAUGUCUGGAAACAGUCUCCAUAUGAAAGUCCAUAAUACUAUCUAGGACUGUUAAAAAUCUCUCUCUUUCUCUCUCGCUCAUUCUUUCUUAUUCAAAUUAAAUGGAGAUGGAUCUUUUCCUUCAAAAUAACUGGAUACAGUUUCCAAAUUGUUAUGGCACCUGAAGGAACUUUCAUAAUAACUGGAUACAGUUUCCAAAUUAAUGCUAUGGCACCUGAAUGAACUCUACUACUGUUGGAAAUUACUCUCUCUCUCUCUCUUCCAAAUAAAUAGAAAUAAAUCUCUUUCCUUGUAUUAAUUAUGAUGUGAUGCUGAAGAGUAGUCCACUGAACUGAAAGUACACUGCAAAAAUGGAAAGAACCAUUUUUCUUAAGAAACAAGUUGAAUUCUUCUGUAACUGAACUUACGUGCCCCAUAAAAAUCUUAAAGUUACUCAGAUUUCCUUAUUUAUUCUGUCCAUUAAAGAAUAGUAGUAUGGGCAGCUCCUGAUAAACUUCUCAGAUUCACUGUAAGAAUUAAAUGGAAUGAACCAUUGAUGAAGGUCUAAAGAGAGAGAGACUGUUUUUGGAUCACAGUGAUUGAAAAUGUUCCUUUUUGCUUCAAAUAUUUACGAUAUUGUAAUGUUUGCAGGGGAACCCCUGGCCAAAGCCUAUCUGGUACUCUCUCUCCAAGCAUUGGCAACUUGACCAAUCUUCAGAUAGUGUAAGUCCAAGAAGCAAAGUGUAUUGCUUUCAUUUUUUCUUCUUCCUUUUAAGAAAUCUCUGUAAUUUUGGUAAUAAGAUAAUCUUCUCUUUUUUUAUUUGCAGUUUGUUGCAGAACAACAACAUAUCAGGAUCAAUUCCUCACGAAAUUGGAAGGCUAUCUAUGCUUAAAACCCUGGAUCUUUCGAAUAAUCUCUUUGAUGAUUCGAUCCCAAAUUCAAUAGGCAAUUUGAAGAGCCUUGAAUAUUUGUAAGUAACAGAGAAAAUUGUUAUCUUUCUAAUUUUGAAUUUUACUUUCUAUAUUCAUAAAUCUAAAUUUGGUUAUGAAUUUGAAUGGAGAUCAGGAGGCUCAACAACAACAGUUUAUCGGGACCUUUCCCUUCGUCUCUGGCCAACAUUUCGGAGCUUGCUUUUCUGUAAUUCUCUUUACCCUCCCUCUCUUCUCUAAGCUUUUCUUCUGAGAACUUCACAGUUUUGAUUGUACUCUCUCUCUCUCUUCUUCUGUGAAAACUUCACACUGUUGAUUUACUCUCUCUCUCUCUAUGCUUUUCUUCUGUAAAAACUUCAGUCUCAAUUUUAAUAUCUCUCUCUCCCCCCUAAUUGCAUGAUGGAACUUGCCAGUUGGUUAACGUCUUUCUUGAUGUUGAGAUGCAGGGACUUAUCUUACAAUAAUUUAAGUGGACCAGUGCCCAAAUUUCCAGCUAGAACAUUCAAGUAAAGUCUCUUUAGCCUGCUUUUUGUCUUUUUUCCUGUUCUAGGUUUCUUUGUCUCUUUCAUUGGGUUAUUCUUCAAAUCUCUAACAAGAAUCAGAGUAUUGAAUUCUGUUUUUAAUGUUUUAAUUAUUCUUCGCCAUUUUUUGCAGCAUUGUUGGAAAUCCUCUGAUAUGUGGAAAUGGAGCAGAGAAAGAUUGUUCGGGAUCAAUUUCUCUUCCUCUCUCUUUCUCAGUGAAUGCAACACAGAGUGAGUAUCUUGAUCUUUUUGUUUCAUAAAAUUUCAUGGUCAGCUUAAAUUCUUGCUUUCUCUUUCUUGUUUCUUUCUUAUAGUUUAUAUCUGAUCUCCUUAACUCAAUUCCAACCUUCAAUUACUGUACAAUCUUCGGAUCUUUGGCCACCAUUUGUUUACCUUCCUCCUAUCUGAAAACUAUGAAUAUUUCCUUAUGACUCCCAUCUGUUUACAUUAUUUUGGGUUUUGUUUGAACUUCGCUACUGAGCUUUGUGGUUUCCUAUACCUGUGCUCCAUGUAAGUUAGUGUUCGCAAAAUUAAACCGGAACAGUUAACUGGACAUGGGGCCAAAAAAUUGUUGAAAAAAAUAAAAAAAAAAUGCAAAAAAAAAUCUACUAAUAUAUGAAAAGCAUAUGUAUAAUGGUUAAAAAAAAAUGCAUUCAAAGGAAGUUGAAAAUUAAUGAAAAAAAUGGAAUUUAAAAGUGAGUAUCAAUGACCAAAACAAUUUUUAAUAUUUACCAUAAUGUAUAUAAUAUUAAAAAAUAUUUUGCAAAUCAAAUUCCUUAUUUUUGGGAUUUUAUAUGCAUUUUUUUAAAUUUUUAUUUUUAAAAUACCAGCGGAUCACCAAAACGGCCCGAAACCGAAACCGGCAAGGGCCCAGUUCCGAUCUAACCAGGCGGUUACCGGUUAGAUCGCCUGGUUUUUCUAACAAUGGUGUAAGCUUCCAAAAUCCUGUAUUUUAUUUGUAAGUUUUAUUCAAUAGCAUCAUGUACCUUUUUCACAAGCAAUUCCACUUCACUGUUUUUUUUUCCUUGUGCUCUUCUUGUUUUACAAUUAUGUUGUGGAUCAAAUGCAUCAAGUGCUAAUUUUGUUAUCUCUCUCCUGCAGGUAAUCAACCCUCAGACAGACCCAAAAGCCACAGGGUGGCACUUGCAUUUGGCUUGAGUCUUGGUGGUAUCUGUCUCCUAAUCUUAGGAUUUGGGCUUCUCCUAUGGUGGAGACACAGGCAUAACCAGCAGAUCUUCUUCGACGUCAAUGGUACACACAUAAUCAGCUUGUCUCCGUGAGAGAGAGUGCACUUCUUAGUUCUUCCCGCGUACACCAAAACCUCAGUUCUUUCUCCAGAAAAUAAAAUAAAAUAAAAUAAAAUAAAAAGACCUACUUCUCAGUUCCUGUGUAGUUUCAUCAUAGAAGCAAAAAAGCAAUUCAAUGAUCUCCAUUUGAACUAACUUGGCCUCACUAUAUCUGGAAAUUCUUCAGACCAACAUGACGAAGAGGUCUGCCUUGGCAACCUGAAGAAAUUCCAAUUCAGAGAGCUCCAAGCUGCCACAAAUAAUUUCAGCUCCAAAAACAUUCUUGGAAAAGGUGGAUUUGGCAUUGUGUACAAAGGCUAUCUUCAAGAUGGCUCAGUGGUAGCUGUGAAAAGGCUUAAAGAUGGCAAUGCAAUUGGAGGAGAGAUUCAAUUUCAGACAGAGGUUGAGAUGAUAAGCUUAGCUGUUCACCGGAACCUCCUAAGGCUUCGUGGGUUUUGCAUGACCUCCAGUGAGAGGCUCCUGGUUUAUCCCUACAUGUCGAAUGGAAGUGUUGCAUCUCGACUCAGAGGUGAGAUUUUUCGAGUGUCACACUUGUUCUUCUCGUUUCUUGAAGUUCAUCUAAUUGAAAGGUUGGUUUGAUGGAGGUAGUAAGUUUUCAGCGACGUUUUUGGACUCGCCCGAGUCCACUCUGACUAGGGCGAGUAACUCGCCUUGCUCUACUGGCGUGGUGAGAGUUGGGGGCAUAUUGCGCGGCAACUUGCCUGGCUCCAUAAAAUUGCAAAAAGAAUACAAAAGCUAAAAAUAAAAGAAAAUUAGAAAACACGAAUAUGUUAGUUAGUGAUAUAUGGUUAUUUGAUUUUGAUAGUUUUUAAGAUGAUCUAGUAAAUUUAUAUUUUUUUUCCUUUUUUCUAAUUUUUUCUGAAAAAUUCAAUGUAUACAUAAGUUUUUCAAUAGUCUAUCCUUUAUAGAUUUUGUUCAUCUUCUUUAUUAUUCUAAUGCAAUCUAUUGCCUCUUUUAACUUUUAUUUUAUUUUUAACAAUUCUCAAACAAUUAUUUUAUUUUAUUGAUUUUUUACAAUUUUUUGCAUGAGCAUGACUCAGCCAGGUUACUCACCUUGGCCAAGGGGCGUGUCCCUUGGCCGAGCCGAUUUCCUAAACAUUAACAUUUUAGAGUUUAAAAGUGAGAGUAGAUGAACUCAAUCCCAAAGAACUGAAACAAAUUGUAUCACCUUUAUUCUUCUUUGAAGAUAAGUUAGAAUUAAAAGGUUUUCUCUAGUAGACAUUAUUUUCAAUCCCAAAAGGGAAAGCAUAACGUAUACCAUUGAUUCAUUGUAUAUGGUACAUGAGAUGGGGAUGCGCCAUCUGUUCUCAAUGAUCAAUGAUGGAGAUUAACCAGAUGAAUGUUCUGGAGGCUUGCUACUGCAAUAUUGCAUCCAUCAUUGCCAAUGGAUGUUACACAUCCAAUUGAUGUUCUGUAUACCAUACACCAUUGGUGGCUGUUAUACUUUCCAUCACAUAGAUAGUAUUCUUUGUCUGCAAGAGCAUUGUGGUCUCAUUUGUGCUCAAAUAAUUGCCUUAAUGAAUUUCAGGUGUUCUUAAUAUUUUAAUUGUUACAACAUUGUAUCUAAUGUUUGAUUCACUGUAUUUGUGGAUUUUGUUUUUUUUGGGUGGCGGAAGGGGUGUGUGUGUGUGAGAGAGAGAGAUGCAUGAACAAUAGUAGGCUCCUCUCAUCUUCAUGGGCAACUCAUCAAUCACUCACUCUUUUCAAAACAGCAAAACCUGCAUUAGACUGGGGUACAAGAAAGAGAAUAGCCCUUGGAGCUGCAAGAGGACUACUCUACCUACAUGAACAGUGCGAUCCAAAGAUUAUCCACAGAGAUGUGAAGGCUGCGAACAUACUCCUUGACGACUACUGUGAAGCCGUGGUCGGUGACUUUGGACUUGCAAAGCUCUUAGACCAUAGAGAUUCUCAUGUGACCACAGCAGUUAGGGGAACAGUUGGUCACAUAGCCCCUGAGUACCUCUCCACAGGCCAGUCCUCUGAGAAAACAGAUGUCUUUGGCUUUGGAAUCCUUCUUCUUGAGUUAAUCACAGGGCAAAAAGCACUCGAAUUUGGAAAGGCAGCGAAUCAGAAAGGAGCCAUGCUUGAUUGGGUGAGAAGAAUUUGCAGUUUAAAAAUUUAUUAUUUUUUCUAUAAUAAGUUUAUGAGUUAAGAUGAUUGAACUACUUUUGUUUGGAAUUUAUAUUUAUAUUUACAUUUAAGCAUGACUUAGUUUUUUAAAACAAUUCCCAAAAAUUUAAAGGCUGGUUCUUUGUACACAUUCUUUUGUUGAAAAUCUCACUGUUAUCUUUGCAAGAUCUUAGGAAAUGGAGAUUUUGACAUUAUUAUUAUUUUCCAUUCAAACUUUUCAUUAUCAACGUUUCCUUAUUUUAUUUUUUUCCCCCUCUGUUCAUCUUUAUUCAAAUGAAGAUGUAUGACAUUUACUGCUUUCCAAACACUUUUCCCCUUUUGCCUUGUUUUUCUUUCUUCAGUUUUAUAACAUAGCCCUUCAAAUGAAGGAGAAAACAAGAAAUGCAAAGCUAAUAUAAGUUUUGUAACAGGUGAAGAAAAUCCACCAAGAGAAGAAGCUCGAUCUACUGGUCGACAAGGAUUUAAAAAUCAAUUAUGAUCGUAUAGAGCUUGAAGAGAUGGUCCAAGUGGCUCUUUUGUGUACCCAAUAUCUACCUGGCCAUAGACCCAAAAUGUCAGAGGUUGUGAGAAUGUUAGAAGGAGAUGGACUUGCUGAGAGAUGGGAGGCAUCUCAAAGAUCUGAUACCUCAAAAUUCAGAGGCUCCGAUCUCUCUUCAGAGCGCUACUCUGAUCUCACCGAUGACUCCUCUUUACUUGCUCAAGCAAUGGAGCUCUCCGGCCCAAGAUGAAUACUUUCAAAUGCAUUAGUUUUGAUUUCCUAGCUGAAAAGUGCAUCUAUAUUCAUAGUUCUUUGAAUUGUUGGAGUUUUGGUGUAAGUGUAUAGAGAGAGAGAGAGAGAGAGAGAGAGAGAGAGAGAGAGAGAGAGAGAGAGAGAGAGAGGAGAGAGUGAGAGUAGUAGAGUAGUACGUACGUACGUACGUAGUAACGUAACGUUAACUUACUUACGUUACGUUACUUAAGUUAGUUAGUNNNNNNNNNNNNNNNNNNNNGUAGUACGUAGUAGUAGUACGUACGUAGUAGUAGUAGUAGUAGUAGUAUGUAGUAUAGUAGUAUAUAUAUAGUAUAUAUUAUUNNNNUAUAUAUGAGAGAGAGAGAGAGAGGUACAUGAGCUUGUAAGGGAGUGUGUUGAGUUCAGGUUGAAGCUCUGAAAAUUGGGGCAGGUUGAUCUGCUGAGGCUAGUUGGUGUUGUGCUAUAUUUCUUGCUUGGGUUUGUAAGAAUAAAUGUGAUGAUGGAAGCAGGUGGUCAUUUGUUUCCCUUUAUUGUGAUGGUGAUGUUGAAUCAUAAUUUCAAUUUGAAGCCAUGCAUCUUCUGUUUGAGUUGCUUUGGAUCUCCUUUCUCUCUCUCAGCUACAUUUUAUUUCCACAAGUGGCAGAUAGUAAAAGUUCGAAUAACUUGAGUUUGUGUAGCGCAACUUGCUCUUGGCUUGG